rnacentral:rRNA from 1 species
UACGUAGGGUGCAAGCGUUAAUCGGAAUUACUGGGCGUAAAGCGUGCGCAGGCGGUGAUGUAAGACAGUUGUGAAAUCCCCGGGCUCAACCUGGGAACUGCAUUUGUGACUGCAUGGCUAGAGUUUGUCAGAGGGGGGUGGAAUUCCACGUGUAGCAGUGAAAUGCGUAGAUAUCAGGAGGAACACCGGUGGCGAAGGCGGCCCUCUGGACGGUGACUGACGCUGAGACGCGAAAGCGUGGGGAGCAAACAGG